rnacentral:rRNA from 1 species
CAGGCCUAACACAUGCAAGUCGAACGGUAACAGAGAGUAGCUUGCUACUUUGCUGACGAGUGGCGGACGGGUGAGUAAUGUCUGGGGAUCUGCCUAAUGGAGGGGGAUAACUACUGGAAACGGUAGCUAAUACCGCAUAAUGUCGCAAGACCAAAGCGGGGGACUUUCGGGCCUCGCACCAUCAGAUGAACCCAGAUGGGAUUAGCUAGUAGGUAGGGUAAUGGCUUACCUAGGCGACGAUUCCUAGCUGGUCUGAGAGGAUGACCAGCCACACUGGAACUGAGACACGGUCCAGACUCCUACGGGAGGCAGCAGUGGGGAAUAUUGCACAAUGGGCGCAAGCCUGAUGCAGCCAUGCCGCGUGUAUGAAGAAGGCCUUCGGGUUGUAAAGUACUUUCAGUCAGGAGGAAGGGUGUGAAAUUAAUACUUUCAUGCAUUGACGUUACUGACAGAAGAAGCACCGGCUAACUCCGUGCCAGCAGCCGCGGUAAU